rnacentral:lncRNA from 1 species
GCAAACUGAAGCUUUCAACCUGGCCUGGGAACCUUAAGAAUAUUUUAUGAACAAUCAAUCCACCGAACUGCACCUGUCAGCAGACCCCGGUUAACUGCACAGAGUACCUGAAAGCCAUCCCCUGUCUGAAUUCACACAGAAAACUUUUAGAGCCACGGCACUGUGAUGGAGGGAAAGAAGGUGUGGACCACACCUCAUGAGAUGUGCAAACAACAUGGCUCAUGACAAACCCAGCAGAAUGCUCAAUCUUUAGAAACCCAAGAUGGCUACAGCAAUACAGACCAUGACAAUUUUUGAAGCUGCCUGCCAGGAAGGAAUGGAAGACAGUCUUCUGUCUAGGUUUUCUCUGCAAAGUGGAGAAUGAAUCCACAUCCAAGAACAUCCCUCUGCUCCACGGUUAUUUCCACCUCUAGGAAUAAGGGGUAUCACAUCAGUACCAGGCAUUUCAAGAACAGCAAGUUACUGACAAUCCUUGAAGUUAAAUGCUGGGUGCAUGGAUUCAUUAAAACAUUCUCUCUACUUUUGUGUACGUUUCACAAUUUUCUUUUUGUUUUCGCCCAAGCUAGAGUGCAGUGGCGCGAUCUCAGCUCACCACAACCUCUGCCUCCCAGGUUCAAGCAAUUCUCCUGCAUCAGCCUCCCAAGUAGCCAGGAUUACAGGAGCCUGCCACCACAACUGGCUAAUUUUUG